rnacentral:rRNA from 1 species
UGGGGAAUAUUGCACAAUGGGGGAAACCCUGAUGCAGCGACGCCGCGUGAACGAAGAAGGUAUUCGUAUCGUAAAGUUCUGUCCUAUGGGAAGAUAAUGACAGUACCAUAGAAGAAAGCUCCGGUUAAAUACGUGCCAGCAGCCGCGGUAAUACGUAUGGAGCGAGCGUUGUCCGGAAUUAUUGGGCGUAAAGGGUACGCAGGCGGUUUAAUAAGUCGAAUGUUAAAGAUCGGGGCUCAACCCCGUAAAGCAUUGGAAACUGAUAGACUUGGGUAGUGGGGAGGAAAGUGGAAUUCCUAGUGUGGUGGUGAAAUACGUGGAUAUUAGGAGAAAUACCAGGAGCGAAGGCGACUUUCUGGACACAAACUGACGCUGGGGUACGAAAGCGUGGGGGGCAAACAGG